UACGAAGGGGGCUAGCGUUGCUCGGAAUCACUGGGCGUAAAGCGCACGUAGGCGGAUCUUUAAGUCAGGGGUGAAAUCCUGGAGCUCAACUCCAGAACUGCCUUUGAUACUGGGGAUCUCGAGUCCGGAAGAGGUGAGUGGAACUCCGAGUGUAGAGGUGAAAUUCGUAGAUAUUCGGAAGAACACCAGUGGCGAAGGCGGCUCACUGGUCCGGUUCUGACGCUGAGGCGCGAAAGCGUGGGGAGCAAACAGG
rnacentral:rRNA from 1 species